rnacentral:lncRNA from 1 species
UUUUUCUUAUGUCUAAAUCUGAAUAUAUCUUGUGGAGAGUUUGAGGUAGUUGUUGUAAAAUAAAUAGUUUUUUUUUGGUUCUCUUGUAAUUGACUUGUUUUCCUCUUUUCCCUUAAUAAUGUUCGUCUAUUUUUUUUCUUAGAGAUCAUAAGCAAAAAGUUUCCAAAGCAUUUCUAAGUUCCUUCGACCCUAACUUUGCUUGUUUGUCGACCGUAGUUCGUGUUGAGUUACAACCAUAGGUCUUACGUUUUAAAACAACGGGAGUAGUUUUUAUUAUAUAUAUUUCUCCUCUUCAGGUUUAUAAGGUUUGGAAAUAGGCCAAACCAUUCCAGCUCGUUCCUACAAAAUGAUUGAUGCAACACAAGAAACCGAGAGCCCUGUAUCCAUAUUAGUUGUUGGUUGCUGAAAUAAAUGUAUCUAGACGUAUUUCAGUUCUAGAUACUUCAAUUUGAGCGGCAAUUAGCAUGGACCGGAAGGAGUAGGAGACGGCCACAGCAGCAGCAACACAACAACAGUCCGUACCCUCGGCUGCGUACCAGAGCAACAAAAUUCUGCACGGUUUGCUAUACAUACAGACAUGCACAUGAGUAGGGCAGCAAGCCGACGGCGCGUGAGCCGGCGAGGGUGUGGCUAGUUGGUGUGGCAGUCGUAGCAGGUGUGGUUGCGGCCGAGUUCGGUGAACUUGUCGUAGCCGUGGCGGAAGACGCCCAUCCCGAAGAGGACGCCGACGAGGAGCGCGAUGCACAGCAGCACCAGCAGGCAGCACCCCACCCUCUCCUUACUGUUGAGCCUGAAGCACAUCCUUCCCGCCUGCCUGUGCCUGCCCCCCUCCUCCUCCUCUCUUUUCUUCCUCUAUAUAAACCUUGAUCUCUCUCUCUCUCUCUCUCUCUCUCUCUCUCUCUCUCUCUCUCUCUCUCUCUCUCUCUAGGCGAGCGACGGUGCUGUAGCGUGAGGGUUUUGGAACGUGCAGGCAGGCUGGAGCAGCGCGGGCACGCCCUUUUAUCAGAGAAAAUGGUUACAGUUUGCUCCAAGAGAGAGAGAGCAAAACUGCUGGAGGUGGAGCUGGACAACUAUGUAACCACUCCAACGAGCGCCCUUCUUUCUGGCUUCAACGGUGGUGUGUAGGGCAUCGCUUGCCAGGGAAGCUAGACUGUGUGGAACGGUCGGGUGAUAGGAAAUCUCUCUCCGGGUUGCCUUUCCGCCAUGCACGGAAUCUCGAUCCUGUGUGGUGUGGCCUAGCCCAAGACACAUGUCUAACAAGACGGGAUUAUUGAUGCCGUGAUGUGUCAUCUUGGCAUCGAGGGGCAUGUGGGGGGAAUCAAUUUGCAGAGAGCAACAGGCGGUUCGCUUCUGCUUUUCGUCCAUCUUUUGCUGCGGAAUAUUUGUCUUUUGGCUUUUAGAAGAUAGAAGAUGGAAGAGGAUAAUGCAUGCGGCUUGGCUGAUUGGGGGUGUCCUCCAUUGACAAAGUGUUAGGACUGGGAGGGCAUGGAUGGAUGGACAACGGGGUUGACAGGAUGGAAUCAAUUCGACUGGGAUGCGCAUUUAUGUGAGGGGUUAUUAUCAAAAUUUUGUUCUAACACUUUGAUAAAGCUUAUAAGAAAUUGAUCGCCGUCGAGGUUUUAAUUCGUCCCGAUCCUGAAACGUAAGACGGUGAAGAGACAGAGGCAAAUGCUCCGGCCAACACUUGUCCCAAACAUGACACCACCAUAGGCCGGCCGGCCAAACCUGUCGCUUCAAACGCAUCACCCACAACGCUCGUUGCAUGAUUCGGCACGGCACUGCGUGAACGAUGGAUACAUCACGGCCAAGAGGUUGUGGCAUGGCUAUGUCUGAUUACGCUGUGGGUUGUGGCCGGUUACAGAAACUAUUACCAACUAUUUUUAUUUUUUUGCAAACAUAUUCCAGAAACUUUUACUGACUAUAGUAAGCCUUUGGAGUUAAAUUCCAGUAAAACAUUGUCUCAACAAACAAGAUGGAGAGAUUCCAGGAUAUAUAAAUGUUCUAAAAAAAAAGGCCACCACAGCAUCAAACGUUAUGAUGAAAGAGAGAAGUGGAACCAACAUCACCCAUCAUCUAACUGGAUUUUGUGUAGACAUUGCAAGUAAAAAUGAUGAUUCAAUUUGUUCCAAACUUAUAGGAAACUAAACCACACCGGGCAGAAAAUCAAAUCACAGAAAGUGAUCAAGCCUAACAUCGCAGCAUACAUGCGAGAAUUGUGGACAGGUGCAUGAUUCAGAUGAAUAUAUCAAUGCGUAAUCUGAAAUGCCAGUGCCCCCAGCCCAGUUUAAUCUCAAGCAUUGCCACAGAAGAAAAAGGGUCAGCUUCUACUCAAACACAACUUACUGCUACGCAAAAGCACAAGGGCAAGAAUUCCAGGGUAACAAGUAACGGCACAGGAUGCCACUUAGCAUUUCAAAAGUCUGGAGGCCUGCAAGUGAAAUUCCCGAGAAAAUGCAUUACGAACAAUAUAUAAGAACAUAGGUCAAACAGGCGAGAUGAUUCCGCAUCAACACGUACUUAGAUUGACAUCUUCUAACAGAACAGAAACAAUCUUCGACAUAGCUCGCAGAGGAAGCAGGUUACGCUGUAGGGACUUGCACUGCACGAGCUUCCAAAGCAGGGAACAAUAAAGCUCAGCGCCCCCGGCCGCGACCACGCCCACGGCCGCGUCCACGACCCCGAC